rnacentral:piRNA from 1 species
UUGUCUUGUUGGCAGCUAGUGAAUGUGA